UACGAAGGGUGCAAGCGUUACUCGGAAUUACUGGGCGUAAAGCGUGCGUAGGCGGUUUGUUAAGUCCGUUGUGAAAGCCCUGGGCUCAACCUGGGAAUUGCAGUGGAUAUUGGCGAGCUAGAGUGCGGUAGAGGAUGGUGGAAUUCCCGGUGUAGCGGUGAAAUGCGUAGAGAUCGGGAGGAACACCCGUGGCGAAGGCGGCCAUCUGGACCAGCACUGACGCUGAGGCACGAAAGCGUGGGGAGCAAACAGG
rnacentral:rRNA from 1 species